rnacentral:rRNA from 1 species
GAUGAACGCUGGCGGCGUGCCUAACACAUGCAAGUCGAACGGAAAGGCCCUGCUUUUGUGCGGUUCUCGAGUGGCGAACGCGUGAGUGUCACGUGUGUAUCCUGCCCUUGUCUUUGGGAUAACUUCAGGAAACUGGGGCUAAUAUAGGAUAGGAGCUCCUGCAGCAUGGUGGGCGUUGGAAAGUUUCGGCGGUUGGGGAUGGACUCGCGGCUUAUCAGCUUGUUGGUGGGGUAGUGGCUUACCAAGGCUUAGACGGGUAGCCGGCCUGAGAGGGUGACCGGCCACAUUGGGACUAAGAGACGGCCCAGACGCCAACGGGAGGCAACAGUGGGGAAUAUUGCACAGUGAGCGGAAGCCUGAUACAGCGACGCCGCGUGCGGAAAGACGGCCUUCGGGGUGUAAACCGCUUUCGCCUGUGACGAAGCGGGAGUGACGGUAAUGGAUAAAGAAGCACCGGCUAACUACGUG